UACGUAGGCAGCGAGCGUUGUUCGGAAUUACUGGGCGUAAAGAGUGUGUCGGCGGUGUUCCCAGUCUGUUGUGAAAUCUCCCGGCUUAACUGGGAGGGUGCAGCGGAAACUAGAAUGCUAGAGGGUGGGAGAGGUAAGCGGAAUUCCUGGUGUAGCGGUGAAAUGCGUAGAUAUCAGGAGGAACACCUGUGGUGUAGACAGCUUACUGGACCACUUCUGACGCUGAGACACGAAAGCGUGGGUAGCAAACAGG
rnacentral:rRNA from 1 species